UACGUAGGGUGCGAGCGUUGUCCGGAAUUAUUGGGCGUAAAGAGCUCGUAGGCGGUGUGUCACGUCGAUCGUGAAAACUUACAGCUUAACUGUGAGCGUGCGGUCGAUACGGGCAUCACUGGAGUUCGGCAGGGGAGACUGGAAUUCCUGGUGUAGCGGUGAAAUGCGCAGAUAUCAGGAGGAACACCGGUGGCGAAGGCGGGUCUCUGGGCCGAUACUGACGCUGAGGUGCGAAAGCGUGGGGAGCAAACAGG
rnacentral:rRNA from 1 species